rnacentral:rRNA from 1 species
CUAAUGUUGCCCGUACCGUAAACCGACACAGGUGGGUGGGAUGAGUAUUCUAAGGCGCGUGGAAGAACUCUCUUUAAGGAACUCUGCAAAAUAGCACCGUAUCUUCGGUAUAAGGUGUGGUUCGCUUCGUAUUAGGAUUUACUCCGAAAGCGAAGAAACUUACAACAAAGAGUCCCUCCCGACUGUUUACCAAAAACACAGCACUCUGCUAACUCGUAAGAGGAUGUAUAGGGUGUGACGCCUGCCCGGUGCUCGAAGGUUAAUUGAUGGGGUUAGCAUUAGCGAAGCUCUUGAUCGAAGCCCGAGUAAACGGCGGCCGUAACUAUAACGGUCCUAAGGUAGCGAAAUUCCUUGUCGGUUAAAUACCGACCUGCAUGAAUGGCGUAACGAGAUGGGAGCUGUCUCAAAGAGGGAUCCAGUGAAAUUGUAGUGGAGGUGAAAAUUCCUCCUACCCGCGGCAAGACGGAAAGACCCCGUGGACCUUUACUACAGCUUGACACUGCUAUUUGGAUAAGAAUGUGCAGGAUAGGUGGGAGGCUUUGAGUAUAUGACGCCAGUUGUAUAUGAGCCAUUGUUGAGAUACCACUCUUUCUUAUUUGGGUAGCUAACCAGCUUGAGUUAUCCUCAAGUGGGACAAUGUCUGGUGGGUAGUUUGACUGGGGCGGUCGCCUCCCAAAUAAUAACGGAGGCUUACAAAGGUUGGCUCAGAACGGUUGGAAAUCGUUCGUAGAGUAUAAAGGUAUAAGCCAGCUUAACUGCAAGACAUACAAGUCAAGCAGAGACGAAAGUCGGUCUUAGUGAUCCGGUGGUUCUGUGUGGAAGGGCCAUCGCUCAAAGGAUAAAAGGUACCCCGGGGAUAACAGGCUGAUCUCCCCCAAGAGCUCACAUCGACGGGGAGGUUUGGCACCUCGAUGUCGGCUCAUCGCAUCCUGGGGCUGGAGCAGGUCCCAAGGGUAUGGCUGUUCGCCAUUUAAAGCGGUACGCGAGCUGGGUUCAGAACGUCGUGAGACAGUUCGGUCCCUAUCUGCCGUGGGCGUAAGAAGAUUGAAGAGAUUUGACCCUAGUACGAGAGGACCGGGUUGAACAAACCACUGGUGUAGCUGUUGUUCUGCCAAGAGCAUCGCAGCGUAGCUAAGUUUGGAAAGGAUAAACGCUGAAAGCAUCUAAGCGUGAAGCCAACUCUAAGAUGAAUCUUCUCUAAGCUCUCUAGAAGACUACUAGUUUGAUAGGCUGGGUGUGUAAUGGAUGAAAGUCCUUUAGCUGACCAGUACUAAUAGAGCGUUUGGCUUAUCUUUAAUAAAGCAU